rnacentral:rRNA from 1 species
CCUACGGGUGGCAGCAGUGGGGAAUAUUGGGCAAUGGGCGCAAGCCUGACCCAGCAACGCCGCGUGAAGGAAGAAGGCUUUCGGGUUGUAAACUUCUUUUCUCAGGGACGAAGCAAGUGACGGUACCUGAGGAAUAAGCCACGGCUAACUACGUGCCAGCAGCCGCGGUAAUACGUAGGUGGCAAGCGUUAUCCGGAUUUACUGGGUGUAAAGGGCGUGUAGGCGGGACUGCAAGUCAGAUGUGAAAACCACGGGCUCAACCUGUGGCCUGCAUUUGAAACUGUAGUUCUUGAGUACUGGAGAGGCAGACGGAAUUCCUAGUGUAGCGGUGAAAUGCGUAGAUAUUAGGAGGAACACCAGUGGCGAAAGCGGCUCUCUGGUCUGUAACUGACGCUGAGGUUCGAAAGCGUGGGUAGCAAACAGGAUUAGAUACCCGAGUAGUC